rnacentral:rRNA from 1 species
UUGGAGGGCAAGUCUGGUGCCAGCAGCCGCGGUAAUUCCAGCUCCAAUAGCGUAUAUUAAAGUUGUUGCAGUUAAAAAGCUCGUAGUUGAAUUUCGGGGUUCAUCCGUUGGUCGGGCUUUUUUGGUCUGUACUGGCGUGAUGGAUUCCUACCUUCUGAAUAACCGGCAUGUCAUUAAUUUGGUGCGCCGGGGAAGCAGGACUGUUACCUUGAAAAAAUUAGAGUGCUUAAAGCAGGCGAUCGCCUGAAUACAUUAGCAUGGAAUAAUGAAAUAGGACGGCAUGGUUCUAUUUUGUUGGUUUCUAGGAUCACCGUAAUGAUUAAUAGGGAUAGUUGGGGGCAUUAGUAUUCAAUUGUCAGAGGUGAAAUUCUUGGAUUUAUUGAAGACUAACUUCUGCGAAAGCAUUUGCCAAGGAUGUUUUCAUUAAUCAAGAACGAAAGUUAGGGGAUCGAAGACGAUCAGAUACCGUCGUAGUCUUAACCAUAAACUAUGCCGACUAGGGAUCGGACGAUGUUAAUUUUUUAAUGACUCGUUCGGCGCCUUACGGGAAAC